rnacentral:ncRNA from 1 species
AAUAAACCGUUGAGAAAGAGGAGUAAGCUUCCAGACGUUUUAUCACAGAGAGCCGCAGGUGGUGGGAUUGCGGUAUAGGACAGGCGGCUGAAUGGACUUUCGAGGGCGGUCCUGAACGGACGAACGUCUCUGUAUGGACCGACGGAUUCCGCAACCGUUAAUCGUGCGGCGCAUAUGUUUGUAUGUGUAGAGUGGACUGUUUAGUCAAUAUUGAGUGGCACCGCGGAUUUUAUUCGUCUCAAUC